GAGCCAUAGCUAAGUGGCAGGGUGCCUGUUUUGCAUGCUGAAGGUCCCAGGUUCAAUCCCUGGCAGCAUCU